GACGAACGCUGGCGGCGUGCCUAAUACAUGCAAGUAGAACGCUGAAGGAGGAGCUUGCUUCUCUGGAUGAGUUGCGCACGGGUGAGUAACGCGUAGGUAACCUGCCUGGUAGCGGGGGAUAACUAUUGGAAACGAUAGCUAAUACCGCAUAAGAGUAGAUGUUGCAUGGCAUUUGUUUAAAAUGUGCAUAUGCGUCACUACUAGGUGGACUUGCGUUGUAUUAGGUAGGUGGUGAGGUAACGGCUCACCAAGGCGACGAUACUUAGACGACCUGGGAAGGGUGACGAGCAACACGGGACCGGAGCCCCGCCCAGAACUCUUCCGGGAGGCGCCAGAGGGGAUCUUCGGCAAUGGACGGAAAGCUGGACGAAGAACGCCGGGGUGGGUGAAGAGGGUUUCGGGUCGUAAAGGUCCGUUGAGAGGGAAGAACGGGUGUUAAGGUAGAACGUUCACACUGUGACGGUAUCUUACGAGAAAGGGACGGCUAACUUCGUG
rnacentral:rRNA from 1 species